ensembl:lncRNA
UUUUAUGUCCCUUUUUUUCCCUUUAAGACAUUGAGAUCAGUGUGGUUGACGAUGAAUCAGAGUCAUCGGUACAGCCAAUCCCUCUUGCCCUCCGGACAUCGCCAGUUUCAUUGUCAGACCAUCCAUCGUCCCCAGCUUCUACCAGUUCAUCAGAUUCAACUAUGAUCCUCAAAAGUACAAAGAACAGGAAGAAGGGCCUACAAGAGCUUGAUCGCGAUGAAGCGAAGCAGGUCAAAAGCAAAGCCUAAAGCAAUUUCCAGUGCUUAACAGCAUUUUACAAACACUAACUUUUUUGUAUAAUUUGCUUCAGUUUAAUCAGUAUGACUUUUUUUUAAACAGAAGGUGUGUAGUGUCCUGAGCUCAAACCCAAAGGGUGAAGAAAUUUUCAAUGAAUACGACAAAACUAAAACACUGUCAGAUCCAACUCGUCGACAAAUGGUCAACAUACUGGUUGCAGAUAUGAUAGAAUCACACGGGUAAGUAUUCUUUGAUGAUCAUAAAAACAAUUGUCAAGUGAGCAGAAGAGCAAUACACUUUGUUUUGUUUUUGAAAGGAGGAUUCCGCCCAUAAGUGUUCGGACUAACUAUGCACUGGGGAUUGCAACGCUUUUUCCAUAUCUCCAAGAUCCUUACUCAAAAAAUGGUUAUGAACAUUACUAUGAUCCGGAGGCUAAUACUGGCUAUCUUGCUUGGAGACUCAAGACUGUCCAACGCAAUACCUAUGAUGGUGCUAGUGGGUGUCCCAGGCCAAACUUCCAGAACAGUCCAACAACCCGAAGAGAAUCUUUGUUUGUUAGUGGACAGCUUUUUGGUGAUGAGUGCAGAGAGGCUCUGUCUGUUAUUAGACACUCAACAGAUAGGUCUGUGGUUAAAGAGAAGAUGAAAGCUACUUUUGAAUAUAGACAGAAGCUGGUACAUGACCCAGAUGCAACAUCAUCAAUCUUGGAUGUCUUCCCUCGUUUCCUUGAUACACCGGGGUUGAUUGAUCAGGAUUUUGCAAUGAUGCUUGGAGAUGAGGCCUCUGGAAGAUUUCUUACAAAGUGGUCUUCGUAUUUCAAGCAAAAAAUCAUCGCAGAAAGCCAAAGUCUUCCAUCAAGUCCUUGUGUUGAGGAGUUACGAGCAUCUUUUGAAACGGAGGCUUCAAAUGACUGGGGCUGGGAUAGUGACAUGGCAGCUCUUCUGUUGUUGCUGCAUCUCCUGCCUCCAACAUCAAAAGGCCACAAAAAAACAGCAAAAAUUAGCUCUGCACAGGCAGCCAAUCAUCUUGUGAGAUUUGUCAAGGAAGGAGUCAGCCUCACUACUUUCCUGGAGAAAGCUAACACCAGGCAGCCCUUCCUUCUCUGCAUUGGUGAGCAAAAGAAGAACAUUCAGAGGUUCUUCAUCAUUGUAGACCAGAAAGCUAUCCCAUGUGAUGCUCCAACUUCAGUGGCUGCUUUUGAUGGGCUUUUCAAAGCACACUUUGUCUUCAGCCUCUCAUAUGAUGAAGCUCUUUCCAGUUUCUACACCUUCAUUCAAACCACAAUCUACAACAUUGAUGUUGGAAACACAAAAGAAAGCCCUCGAGUCAAGGAACUGAGAGCACGUCUGCUGCGAGACCGUUAAAUGCCCACAAGGUCCACACGCUUUUAGGAGGAUUUAAAAAAAACAAAACUGUUUGACAAUGUUCAAAUGCUUUGUUUGUAAAAUGCACCACAAAAAUUGUUCAGCUCUUUGUCAACAUUUAAAAUUUCAUCAUGGUUUAUAUCCAAACAAAAAUCUGCGUUUAAAAUGUGGAGAGCAGGGAUGUCUUUCAUCUUUUUGUACUUACAAUGGCUUUAGAAAACAUCUUCAUAAUGUACAUAGUCAUUAUCACGAUAAACAUGUAGGGAUGGAACAGGAAGUUGCCCAACAAACACAUUCUCUAGGAGACUCUUUUAGUGAUCAACCAUCUACUUCUGCAUCUGUAUCACAGGUUCCCACUGUUAUUUCACAGGACUCGCUUGUUGGAAUGUGUGGAUCUAUUGUCGCUCACUUACAAGCUUCUGGUCUUACUGAAAGUGCUGUUCAAACAAUAAUUUGUUCUGUUGAGGAAGUUGUCAGUGAUGUUCAGAGUCAAGCAAGAGAAGUAGUACUCCAAACAUUUUCCCCUGAUAGUAAGGAAUCAGACAUUUACAAAAGAGUUGAGCACAAUUUAAACCAAUUAGAUAACCCCUUUUCAACAUUUAACACUGAGAAAAAAAGACAGAAAUAUUACGAUGAAAAAUGGGAAAUAGUUGAGCCUAAAGAAUUUGUACUUGGUGUAAGAUUGGAUACACGUAGACAUAGAACUACAGGGGUUUAUAGCGAAACACCUGUCAGAGACAAAUACAUGUAUGUGCCCAUUUUAGGUACGAUACAUUCAAUUUUCAAGAAUAAAGACAUUAGAGAAUGCUUCUUGCAUGAGAAACAAACACAAGCUGGGUUAUACAAAGACAUUAAUGAUGGAUCAUAUUUCCAAAACCAUCCUCUGUUUUCACAACAGAAAUAUGCUCUACAGAUUUUACUGUAUUACGAUGAUUUUGAAACUGCUAACCCAUUAGGUUCGAAGAAAGGGAUCCACAAACUGGGCUGUAUUUAUUUCACUAUAAAAAACCUCCCACCAAAGGUUAACUCUGUGCUGAUGAAUGUACAUCUAGCUGCUCUUUUCUACACAGAAGACUUAAAGAAAUAUGGUUUUGAAGAAAUACUAAAGCCUUUGAUUGAUGACUUGAAAAUUUUAGAAACUAAAGGAAUCCUGCUUCCCUUUACUGAAGAGCCAGUGUUUGGUUCUGUUGUUCAAGUUACAGGAGACAAUCUUGCUUUAAAUGGCUUACUAGGUUUUGUUGAAUCGUUUAGUGCAACAAACUGGUGUAGGUUUUGUUUAGUAAACAAGGAAGAAAUUCAGUCUGUGUUUAAUGAAGACAGUUCGGACAUUGUUCUGCGCUCCAGAGAACUUCAUAUUGAACACUGUAAUGCAUUAAGUGAAGACCCUGCUCUCACUUCCGUUUAUGGAGUUAAAAGAUCUUGUGUGCUCAAUUCAUUGGAAUAUUUUCACAGCACUGACAAUUAUGCAGUUGAUAUAAUGCACGAUUUAUUGGAAGGAGUUGUGCAGUAUGAGCUCAAACUUUUUUUUCAAUACAUGAUCAAAAAUGGCUACAUCUCCAUUAGCACAUUACUUGACAGGAUACAGACGUUUAAUUAUGGUUUUGUAGAGCGUAAAAAUAAACCAAGUGGGUUAAAAAUAGAUGAUAACAGCAAACACUUAGGUUUAAAUGCCAUUCAGUCAUUAUGUAUCCUACGCAAUACUCCACUAAUUUUUGGAGACAUAGUUGAGCGGGACAAUAGCCACUGGAAUUUUGUUCUCCUUUUGUUGCAAAUUGUUGAUAUUGUGUUGUCCCCAGUCCUUACUGAUGGCAUGAUAUGUUACUUGAAACAUCUCAUCUGUGAUCACCAUAACAUGUUUAAAAACUUGUUCCCUGGUAGAAAAUUAAUUCCUAAACACCACCUAAUGAUUCACUAUCCAAGGUGUAUUAAGAAAAUUGGCCCUCUUAUCCACAUAUGGUGUAUGCGUUUCGAAGCAAAACACAAUUUUUUUAAAAGGGCUGUCAAAAAUUUUAAAAACCUUACAAAAUCUCUAGUAAAGCAACAUCAGCGUCAAUUGGCCUUUUACUAUGAAAACUAUUGUUUUAAAAGAUUUCAGUUCGGUCCUUUAAAAUUAAAAAGAGUUGAUAGCAUGGAAGGUGGACAUUUGUUGUGCGAGUCAUUAAAUGUAGAUUCAUGUGUAAAUGUUUCAACUACAAAUUGGGUUAGAAAUUAUGGCACUGAAUACCAGGUUGGUUUGUUUUUAUGCACUGGAAUGUCCAGUGAUCUACCAGUCUUUAAGAAAAUUUGCUAUAUCAUAAUACAUGAACAACAUGCAUUCAUAAUAGGUUCUACUGUCAACACCUUGUACUUUGAUGAACACUUUCAUGCAUACUGCAUUGAAGAAAAAAGUAAUGAGCAUGCUGUUAUUUCAAUUGACCAGCUCACCUAUGUUAGACCCUUUGACAAGCAAUAUUCUAAUGAAAAUGAGAACAUAUACAUGAUUCCAUAUUGUUACAUGUUUUAGAAACUGUUUUGAAGUUGUGGUGCAUAUAAAAAUAAAUCUUUUUCAGAAGAACAUUGGCUCUUUUUAAUAUUUUUUCCCCAAGGAAUUUCUAAAAGAUCAGAACAUUAAAAUUUACACUUUUU